AGCUUUGCGCAGCGGCAGUAUCAGAGCCAAUGAGGUUUAUCUGAGGCGCGAUGAUUGCUAAUCGAAAACG
rnacentral:snRNA from 1 species